AGCGAACGCUGGCGGCAGGCCUAACACAUGCAAGUCGAACGAACUCUUCGGAGUUAGUGGCGGACGGGUGAGUAACACGUGGGAACGUGCCUUUAGGUUCGGAAUAACUCAGGGAAACUUGUGCUAAUACCGAAUGUGCCCUUCGGGGGAAAGAUUUAUCGCCUUUAGAGCGGCCCGCGUCUGAUUAGCUAGUUGGUGAGGUAAAGGCUCACCAAGGCGACGAUCAGUAGCUGGUCUGAGAGGAUGAUCAGCCACAUUGGGACUGAGACACGGCCCAAACUCCUACGGGAGGCAGCAGUGGGGAAUCUUGCGCAAUGGGCGAAAGCCUGACGCAGCCAUGCCGCGUGAAUGAUGAAGGUCUUAGGAUUGUAAAAUUCUUUCACCGGGGACGAUAACGACGGUACCCGGAGAAGAAGCCCCGGCUAACUUCGUG
rnacentral:rRNA from 1 species